UUUAAUUUUUAAAAAACUUUCUAAAUUUGUGAAAUGUUACAAUAUCUUUGAAUAUGACAAGAAAAUAACUUUUUACUAAUCUUUAUAUAUAAAGUUACGAUUUUAAUAAUAAAAUAAUAAUCCAAAUAUAUAUAUAUAUAUAUAUAAUGUUUGCCUCCCUCGUGUUGCGUCACUUCAGCAUCGAAGUCACAAAGUCGAGUCAUGUGGUGUAGACAUCUGUCCAGGCCACUGAUACUCUGUGUUUCAUUUAAUCUGUAGAAUCAUGGGCUGGGUUUUGGAUCUUGACAAGUCAACUAAAUUUAGUCUACCUGGAACCGUCACGCUCAUCACCACCACUUUCUUUGUGUCUCUUUCGAUGAGUCUGAAAAUGACAUAACAACUAAAUUAUGGUGAUGUCAUAGAAAAAAAGAGUUAAAACACAAAUUACUUACAAACUAACCAACAACUUAAAUUAAUAAAAUAGUAUAUCUUAUACGCACCUCUUACAGACGUGAAAUUAAAACACAAACCACAAAAUUAUAUAACAAAUAAUAACUUAGAUAACAAGUAAGGUAUAUCCCGUCCGUAGGGCGGACCGACCCUAGUAUAUAUAUAUAUAUAUAUAUAUAUAUAUAGAGAGAGAAGAAAAUACAAAUGCAUGUGAAAGUUUAAAAUAAUCUAUUCAAUGAAAAAAUAUACCGUAAACUUAUUAUGUUUUAAAAAUUGAUAGACACAUAUAUUAUAAUAUAUACCAAUUUAGAAUUGAAAACAAAAUAUUUAUAUAAAAUAAAUGAAAACAAAAACCCGCGCGGUUGUUAUGUCAAGAUCUAGUUGAUACAUCUAUUACUAUAAAACACAGUUUACUCUCUUCUCCUUCCUCCACAUAGGAUGCCACCUAGAUAAGUCUGUUUAUACCUAUGCAACACGUGUCCCGUAUAUGAAACUCAUCGUUUCAUUAACUUUGGUUGGACUCCUGUUUUAUGUUUUGUAUCUGUGUUUUAAUUUAUAAAACCCAUCACGAAAAUAACUAAGUGUGCUCGAAACGUCUUCAUCUUCUAUAAUCGAUUUUUAGGGUUCAUGAUGUUCUUCAGUUUCUGAUUUCUUUCAGCGACCACGAAGUUUCGAAAGAGUUAUGGGAGAUGAAUAUUCACAUCCAAUCUCUGGUGCGAGCUGCCGUUCGCGUCGAUUCGUCUGGCUUUCUUCACGCCGGCAAAGGGAAAUUGGAACCGUUACGGGCUCCAUUCAAUCGGUGUCAUUAACAGCCUUCUUAACUCCUUCUUCCAUGAUUCUUCAUUCAAUGCAUCCUUCACUAUCUUCCGUUCUCUGACUUUGCAUCUAUAAAGAGAAUGGCAAACUCCCACUCCUCCUUGCUGACUUGAAGGUCGAGCAAAACAGCACCACCGAAGGAGUUCUUCAGAUGCCGGAAAGCUUCUCCCUUUAAGCUUUUAUUCUUUGUUUACUUCCGAUCUAUAUUAAUGGAUUCUUGCGUUAUCUUUCGUAUUGAGGGUACGCUCUCUUCAUCUCUUUUUAAGUUCCUUUUUUUAGAAUUUCCAAAAGUUUUCGAGAAUUUAAAUUUUAAGUGUCUCUCUGCAAAUAUGAUCUUUUAACAGUUUAUCAAUCAUGGUUAUGAGAAAAGGAAUGAACUUUGUGAGAGUCUUCACCUGAUCUAAUGUCUCCACCUUUUUCAAUUAUUAAUUGUCCUCAGUUUUGACUUUAGUAAACUCUUUGUGUGUGUUUCUGCAGAUAAGAGCAGUGGUCUCUACAACCUCCAUCUUUAGCGUUCAAUCAUCAUCAUCAUCGGCAGCUCAUAAGGGAGAAAGAGAGAUACUUAGCAAAGCGAACGUUAAGGACUUUACCUUCAACGAUCUCAGACUCGCAACCAGAAAAUUAGGUCACUUUUUUCCCGUAAACAGAUCACUCUGUAACGAACGAUGAGUGGAAAAAGUAUUGUUUCUCCCGUUUUACAGUCCCAUUCCAUCUCAUUCCUUCUUCUCCAAGAAGACUACGGCGAGAUCUUCGGCUAUUAAUGGGAACGCCAAAGAGAAUCUUCAUACGGCCGUUUCCUCUUCCGUCUUCGGCUAAACGCAUCAUCGUGAGAUGACACGGCUCCGUGAAGCCGAACUCUGCGGUGAUCCCUGAAUGUAUCAAAUCAGAAGGAGGCAAAGUAGGUUUGGAUAAGAUCUUUGAUUCUCUAAGAGUUUCUCUAGCAAGUACGAGUUUGUUUUUUUUAAGUUUUUCACAAAGCAAAAGUUAGUGCUUUUUGAUUUGAUGCCUUCUGGUUCUGUAGUAGUUAUGAGAUCUGUUAAUUUGUUUGUAAUUUGUUGUGUAUAUGACAAUGGCUAUUGCCACUGAAGAUGUGAGGAGAGAAGUGAUGAUAUUGAAAAGUUUGUCUGGUCAUGAUAAUCUUCCUCAUUUAUAUGAUACAUAUGAGGAUCA